GCCAGAGCUGUCAGAGCGAACCGAGGAGCUGUGAACGCUGGAGUCCUCCUGCUCAGACUCGUCCUCAUCCAUAUCCUCGCUCUAGCAGAGCACAAGAAAGCACGGGGGCAGUGAGUGAAGGGAGGAAAGACAGGUAUGUUUUUACAGCACUGGCAGCGUUUUUUGGAUCACUGUCAUGCUGAAAAAUGAAGCUGCUGCCAAUCAGAUGCUUUGCAGGUGGAGGCUGAGGUGGCGGUUCAGGUGAGGCGGUCGCUGCAGAGACCUGCUCGGCAACAGCGAUGGCAGCGGCAGCAGCCGCCGCCGCCACAGCUGCGGCGUUGCCCUUGAAGGGGUUGUUAGAGCUAAACUCCC